rnacentral:rRNA from 1 species
UACGGAGGGAGCUAGCGUUGUUCGGAAUUACUGGGCGUAAAGCGCACGUAGGCGGCUUUGUAAGUUAGAGGUGAAAGCCCGGGGCUCAACCCCGGAAUUGCCUUUAAGACUGCAUCGCUUGAAUCCGGGAGAGGUGAGUGGAAUUCCGAGUGUAGAGGUGAAAUUCGUAGAUAUUCGGAAGAACACCGGUGGCGAAGGCGGCUUUCUGGACAGUAACUGACGCUGGAGGCGCGAAAGCUAGGGGAGCAAACAGG